GAGGAGUUGGUGAACAGCAGGAUGGAUGGGAUGUCAGUCAGCUGUGCCCCUGGCUACCCCUGUGCUUGAACAGUGGACUGUGAGUGGCGGCGUCAUGCAGAAGGAGCACAGGGUCCCAGGCCAGCAUCACUAUCCAGGAGCUUCAGGCAUGCUCCGUGUACCAACAUGGGAUCACGAAUCACAUCGCCUCAGGCCAAGAAAGCCAUUUUAUAGCGAAAGAGCCUUAGGAUCUGCUGGAUUAGAGCCUGUUUCCCAGGUAGGAACGCUUCCACGAGGGCACUCCUGCUGGUUGCAGGAAGGAUACCUCUGCUGAGCCUGAAUCUGCAAAGACCACCAGGUUACUCUCAGCUCCUCAUACUGGUGGACCAGCAGGCCACAAAGGAGGGGAUACUUGAUCCUGAUAAACGGUUAUGCUUGUUUGCUGAUGGAAAUGAUCCAGAAGAGAAGGACAAGUUGACGAUUGAGAGGGUUAAUGUCAGGAGAAGGAGUCUGGAAGGACGCUGACAACGGGUGGUGGUCAGGAAGGAAAACCCAGUGCCUGUGGCCCAGAGGCUGGAGGAGGAACUUCAAGGAGGGAUGUUCAGCUCCCUGUGGACCCCCAUUUGUUCAUCCAUACAAUGAUGCUCUGAGGAGCACACAAGGAAGGUGCAAAUUUGAUAAAAUGUGCAUGAUGUAAGGAGCAUAAACCCCCUCAGGAAAGAGUUGCUGCCUUUUCACUAAUGUAUCCCUGAGCUGCACAGAGCAGCCCUGGGGGACUGG
rnacentral:lncRNA from 10 species